ensembl:lncRNA
CCGUAGUCUCACAGAGCUUUUACUUUAUUAUCAAAAGAUUCAAUGUCUGUGCUUGAGGCAAAGCUUCCUUGUCCUUAAGGUCGGCUGAAACUCAACAAAACAUUUCAGCCAAUAAUCAAAUCAACUCACAUUAAAUUACCCAAAAGGUAUUGUGAACAGAAGACAUGAGUUUCAUGCAGAUCCAGUUAUUACAGCAAGAGACGCUCAUCAUCAAUGAAACGCACCCAAUAAUUCAGUGUAUAAUUAGCAACAAUCACAAUAAGCUCAAACUACUGCUAAAGGAACAUGACAUUAAUGGACUUUAUCCAUGCAAGGAGCUAAACGAUGAGGUCUCCCCUUUGAUUGCUGCUGUUGCAUUUCAAAAGGAGGGCAUUUUUUCCGUUCUCCUGCAUGAAGCUGCAGACCCAAACACAUGUUCACGCAAUUGUUGGAAACCUUUGCAUUUUGCUUCAUUAGGCAAAGUUCCAUUUUCUUUUGUGCAUAAAUUGCUGGCAGCUAAAGCUGAACCAAAUGAUGACAUGAAUAAUCAAUUAAAAAUGACCACACUGCAAGCAGCUGUUCACCAUGACAGAGGUGAUGUUGCAGAAGCAUUGAUCGGCGCAGGUGCAGUUGUUUCAACGUUUCCUAUAAAGAGUCCUGAUUGUGAUACUUUCAAUGACAAGUUGUCUAAUAUGAUACAUCGUUUAGCCUCGAAUAGUGUCCAAAUCUGUUCAGAAAUUAAAUAUUUUGUUGAUCUGGACAUUGCAGUCAGACGAAAGAGUCCUGAAGAGGUUUUCCAGUUGUUUGAUCAUGUUAUGCUGCUUAAGCAUCCUCAGACACAUAUUAGUGUUAUUGAUGUUGUGUUGAGUGUCACUGGACCAGGGAAGGCAGAAUACCAAAGUAAAGCUAUCCAGUGGCUUAGGGACAACAAUAAGAUAAACCAAUACAUUGAGGAGGCUGUGAAACACUUUCCAAACCUUUUAAAAGGACAUCAGCCUUUGGUUGUUCAGAAUCUACAUUCUGUCUUUUGCACUUUGACAGAGAUACCAAAUAACAUAUCACUGGCUUUCAUACCUAAAUUACUUGAGCUGCUUUCCACAAAAAUUUUGUUUCCGAAAGAACAGCAUUUUGUUGUGGUUACACUCUAUGUGAUUACACAAAAAUGCAAAGUGAAAGAUGACUGGAAUUUGGAUAUCAUUGAGAAAUUAAGCUCAGGAAUUUCUUCCUUUGUAAACAAUAAUCACUCAGCAACUGCAAUCUAUGCCUAUGGCAUUUUUGCAAAUCUUGUUUCAACUGAACACGCCAACAAAAUCUUUACAUCGAUUGGGUUAACUUCUGUGCCUGAAGAGAUUCUUACAUCUGCAGAAAUGACGAUGGAUGACAGUCUCAAAGAAGGUCUAAGGCAUCUGCAGAAAUAUUUAAUUCAACCAAGCGCAGCAUCUGAAGAGUCCAUAUCAGCUGUUU